UUUCUGUUUGGUCAAUUCUGAUGUAACAGGAAAUAAAUGUAAAUGCUUAUUUUUCAGAAGCUAAAGUGGCCAAAAAAGAGACCAAAGCAGCACCAUCUAAGAAAGAGCCUCGAGUCACAAAAGAAAAGGCCAAACCAGCUCAUUCAAAGAAAGAGCCUGAUUUUUCUAAGGAGAAAGAAAAACCACCAACUGCAAAGAAAGAAAAGCCAACAACUGCUACUGUUAAAAAAGAGCCUGCAGUUGCAAAAGAGAAAGUCAAACCAGUGCCUUCAAAGAAAGAAGGAGAGAGUGAAACCAGCCCCAUUUAAGAAAGAGCCUGAGGUUUCCAAAGAAAAAGCCAAGCCAGACCCGUUAAAGAAAGAGGCUGAAACUGUUGAAGAGAAGGCAAAACCAGCACCAGCUAAAAAAGGUACAGAGCUCAUGCUCUGUAUUUGAGAGGGUAAUAAUAAAAUCAUAAGAUUGA
rnacentral:lncRNA from 1 species